AAAGCGAUUCAGCGGGUUACGAUUGACGGAGCGAAGCGACGUCAAAGCGUAUACAAAGUCGAGUCGGUUUAAGGAUACGUUCGUUGGGUAGGGGAGCGUUCUGUAAGCCUGUGAAGGUGGCCUGUGAGGGUUGCUGGAGGUAUCAGAAGUGCGAAUGCUGACAUAAGUAACGAUAAAGCGGGUGAAAAGCCCGCUCGCCGGAAGACCAAGGGUUCCUGUCCAACGUUAAUCGGGGCAGGGUGAGUCGACCCCUAAGGCGAGGCCGAAAGGCGUAGUCGAUGGGAAACGGGUUAAUAUUCCCGUACUUGGUGUUACUGCGAAGGGGGGACGGAGAAGGCUAUGUUGGCCGGGCGACGGUUGUCCCGGUUUAAGCGUGUAGGUGUGUGUUCCAGGUAAAUCCGGUUCACUUUAACACUGAGGCGUGACGACGAGGCACUACGGUGCUGAAGCAACAAAUGCCCUGCUUCCAGGAAAAGCCUCUAAGCAUCAGGUAACAUCAAAUCGUACCCCAAACCGACACAGGUGGUCAGGUAGAGAAUACCAAGGCGCUUGAGAGAACUCGGGUGAAGGAACUAGGCAAAAUGGUGCCGUAACUUCGGGAGAAGGCACGCUGACACGUAGGUGAAGUGAUUUACUCAUGGAGCUGAAGUCAGUCGAAGAUACCAGCUGGCUGCAACUGUUUAUUAAAAACACAGCACUGUGCAAACACGAAAGUGGACGUAUACGGUGUGACGCCUGCCCGGUGCCGGAAGGUUAAUUGAUGGGGUCAGCGCAAGCGAAGCUCCUGAUCGAAGCCCCGGUAAACGGCGGCCGUAACUAUAACGGUCCUAAGGUAGCGAAAUUCCUUGUCGGGUAAGUUCCGACCUGCACGAAUGGCGUAAUGAUGGCCAGGCUGUCUCCACCCGAGACUCAGUGAAAUUGAACUCGCUGUGAAGAUGCAGUGUACCCGCGGCAAGACGGAAAGACCCCGUGAACCUUUACUAUAGCUUGACACUGAACAUUGAGCCUUGAUGUGUAGGAUAGGUGGGAGGCUUUGAAGCGUGGACGCCAGUCUGCGUGGAGCCAACCUUGAAAUACCACCCUUUAAUGUUUGAUGUUCUAACGUGGACCCGUAAUCCGGGUUGCGGACAGUGUCUGGUGGGUAGUUUGACUGGGGCGGUCUCCUCCUAAAGAGUAACGGAGGAGCACGAAGGUUGGCUAAUCCUGGUCGGACAUCAGGAGGUUAGUGCAAUGGCAUAAGCCAGCUUGACUGCGAGCGUGACGGCGCGAGCAGGUGCGAAAGCAGGUCAUAGUGAUCCGGUGGUUCUGAAUGGAAGGGCCAUCGCUCAACGGAUAAAAGGUACUCCGGGGAUAACAGGCUGAUACCGCCCAAGAGUUCAUAUCGACGGCGGUGUUUGGCACCUCGAUGUCGGCUCAUCACAUCCUGGGGCUGAAGUAGGUCCCAAGGGUAUGGCUGUUCGCCAUUUAAAGUGGUACGCGAGCUGGGUUUAGAACGUCGUGAGACAGUUCGGUCCCUAUCUGCCGUGGGCGCUGGAGAACUGAGGGGGGCUGCUCCUAGUACGAGAGGACCGGAGUGGACGCAUCACUGGUGUUCGGGUUGUCAUGCCAAUGGCACUG
rnacentral:rRNA from 1 species